rnacentral:rRNA from 1 species
CUUCCUUCGGGAAGUGGAUUAGCGGCGGACGGGUGAGUAACACGUGGGUAACCUGCCUCAAAGUGGGGGAUAGCCUUCCGAAAGGAAGAUUAAUACCGCAUAAUAUGAGAGAAUCGCAUGAUUUUCUUAUCAAAGAUUUAUCGCUUUGAGAUGGACCCGCGGCGCAUUAGCUAGUUGGUAAGGUAACGGCUUACCAAGGCAACGAUGCGUAGCCGACCUGAGAGGGUGAUCGGCCACAUUGGAACUGAGACACGGUCCAGACUCCUACG